rnacentral:rRNA from 1 species
GGACCUACGGGGGGCAGCAGUGGGGAAUAUUGCACAAUGGGGGAAACCCUGAUGCAGCAACGCCGCGUGAAGGAAGACGGUUUUCGGAUUGUAAACUUCUAUCAAUAGGGAAGAAAGCAAUGACGGUACCUGACCAAGAAGCCCCGGCUAACUACGUGCCAGCAGCCGCGGUAAUACGUAGGGGGCAAGCGUUAUCCGGAAUUACUGGGUGUAAAGGGAGCGUAGACGGCUGUGCAAGUCUGGAGUGAAAGGCGGGGGCCCAACCCCCGGACUGCUCUGGAAACUGUAUGGCUGGAGGGCAGGAG